rnacentral:rRNA from 1 species
UACGUAGGGGGCAAGCGUUGUCCGGAAUUAUUGGGCGUAAAGCGCGCGUAGGCGGCCUUGUAAGUCUGUCGUUUAAACUCGGAGCUCAACUUCGAGUCGCGAUGGAAACUGCAAAGCUUGAGUGCAGAAGAGGAAAGUGGAAUUCCACGUGUAGCGGUGAAAUGCGUAGAGAUGUGGAGGAACACCAGUGGCGAAGGCGACUUUCUGGGCUGUAACUGACGCUGAGGCGCGAAAGCGUGGGGAGCAAACAGG